UCCAUUGUAGUCUAGUUGGUUAGGAUGCUCGGCUCUCACCUGAGAGACCUAUGUUUAAGUCCUAGCGAUGAAA
rnacentral:tRNA from 1 species